AGUGAACGCUGGCGGUAGGCCUAACACAUGCAAGUCGAACGGCAGCACAGGAGAGCUUGCUCUCUGGGUGGCGAGUGGCGGACGGGUGAGGAAUACAUCGGAAUCUACUCUGUCGUGGGGGAUAACGUAGGGAAACUUACGCUAAUACCGCAUACGACCUACGGGUGAAAGCAGGGGAUCUUCGGACCUUGCGCGAUUGAAUGAGCCGAUGUCGGAAUAGCUAGUUGGCGGGGUAAAGGCCCACCAAGGCGACGAUCCGUAGCUGGUCUGAGAGGAUGAUCAGCCACGCUGGAACUGAGACGCGGUCCAGACUCCUACGGGAGGCGGCAGUGGGGAAUAUUGGACAAUGGGCGCAAGCCUGAUCCAGCUAUACCGCGUGGGUGAAGAAGGCCUUCGGGUUGUAAAGCCCUUUUGUUGGGAAAGAAAUCCAUCUGGUUAAUACCCGGGUGGGAUGACGGUACCCAAAGAAUAAGCACCGGCUAACUUCGUGCCAGCCGCCGCGGUAA
rnacentral:rRNA from 1 species